rnacentral:tRNA from 1 species
GCCUUCGUGGUGUAAUGGUAGCACACUCGGCGGGUAUUUGAGAGAUCCAGGUUCGAGUCCCGGUGAGGACG